rnacentral:lncRNA from 1 species
GAGCUAAUGAUAACUACGGCACAAGUUUAUGAUAUGCAAAUUGUGACGGAAGGAAAUACAUCCUAUACGAAGGAAACUAACGAUACGAAAGAUUUUUAUUCAGAAGCUUGUCAAAAGAUUCCGAUUACAGUUGGAGUCCAGAGAGAUCAAAAUCUCAAGUUACGAGCAAAACAACGAUUCUUAGAUCUGACUUCAGUCCUGAAAUCCGCGUGGGCUUUCAUAGAUCUGUUUCGCUCCAACAGAGGCUCUGGGGUGGAUCUGAUUUAG